CACUUCUCCUUCUAUCCAGUAUGGAAUUUCCAGCUUGCCACAGGUUGUUGACAAACCAGUGCCUAUCAGAAUAUCGUCUUUUUUGACGUCUCGACACCUUUCUCAUAGGUGUAUUAGAUUACCUGCAAGGAAAUAUCACCCUAAAAAUGAUGGUCCGAAGGUGCCAUUUUUUAGUGAUGAUGAGGAGACACCCAGCACGCCAAAGGCAGAUGCUCUUUAUAUUCCCAGGGAGAACCCAAGAUCUUUAGAAAUUCGUCCAUUGGAACAGAUAUCCUCUAGAGCAAGCUCAGAGAAAAGAUCCCCAUCAAACCCCAAGGCUACUACUCCUGUACAUGAGAAUGGUAAACAGUUGUAGCAUUCUAUAUCUAAUGAGAUGUGCUAGACUUUGUGCUCUUUGAUACGUGGAAUGAUUUAGGAAUAUCGCUAAAAUAAUUACAGAUGCUACCUCUAAGAUUAGUCCACUUAGAAGUUGUUGGACACCUCAAGAGAGCCGAAGCGCCUCAUGGUAGCUGGUUACGAUUCAUUUUCCCUUUUUUUAUUGAGAUUAUAAUUAGUACAAAGGCUGAAUUUUUUUUUU